ACUAGAAAAGAGGAAAAAGAUUAAAGGAGGAUUGAAGAAGAAGAAGAAGAAGAAGAAGAAUAAGUGAGCAACAGAUCGAAGUAGCUAACCAUUUCGAGCAAAGCAAAUCAUUGAGAAAAGAUGGGAAUUUGGUUAUACAAUGUUAUAAAUCUUUCAAAGAAAGGUUUAGUGUUGGAGAAAUCAUCUAAAACUCGACAUUUGAAUGUCAUCACCAACACCAUUGAUGAAGAAUGCGGAUAUUGGGAUGAAGAUUGGAUGUUUUAUUUCGAUCGCGGAAGGAUACGUGUUAGAGUGUUCGACGAUGGUGACUGGGGAUUGAUAAUUCAUAUCAAGCGAGAUGGCACACCAGAUUUAAUUGCAAAAUGGGAUAUACAAAAUAAUUAUACACGUAUUAAUUUUACUUUUGAACAAAGUAAAAUUUGGUUUUACUCUUCAGAUAAGCCUUUGAAGAAAGAUGGAGAGCAGCAUCAAGGAUGGGCUCUACAAAUUGAGAAAGAUUGGAAGUGGGUUUCAUAUGAUGUAAAUGCAUAAAAGCAUAAGAUGAGAUCCAAUGAGGUUCGUUAUGUUUUUAUCACUGUAAUAAGUCUUCGCGGGUCGACUAUAUGCAAACAUAUAGAUAAAUAAAGCCAUAUGGGUUAUUGUUAUUAA